AGCAGCCGCGGUAAUUCCAGCUCCAAUAGCGUAUAUUAAAGUUGUUGCAGUUAAAAAGCUCGUAGUUGAAUUUCGGGGUUCAUACGUUGGUCGGGCUAUUUGGUCUGUACUUAUGUAAUGGAUUCCUACCUUCUGAAUAACCGGCAUGCCAUUAAUUUGGUGCGCCGGGGAAGCAGGACUGUUACCCUGAAAAAAUUAGAGUGCUUAAAGCAGGCUAUCGCCUGAAUACAUUAGCAUGGAAUAAUGAAAUAGGACGGCAUGGUUCUAUUUUGUUGGUUUCUAGGAUCACCGUAAUGAUUAAUAGGGAUGGUUGGGGGCAUUAGUAUUCAAUUGUCAGAGGUGAAAUUCUUGGAUUUAUUGAAGACUAACUUCUGCGAAAGCAUUUGCCAAGGAUGUUUUCAUUAAUCAAGAACGAAAGUUAGGGGAUCGAAGACGAUCAGAUACCGUCGU
rnacentral:rRNA from 1 species